UACGGAGGAUGCAAGCGUUAUCCGGAAUGAUUGGGCGUAAAGCGUCCGCAGGUGGCAAUGUAAGUCUGCUGUCAAAGCGUCUGGCUCAACCAGAUAAAGGCAGUGGAAACUACAUAGCUAGAGUAAGGUAGGGGUAGAGGGAAUUCCUGGUGUAGCGGUGAAAUGCGUAGAGAUCAGGAAGAACACCGGUGGCGAAAGCGACUUCCUGGACCAAUACUGACGCUCAUGUGCGAAAGCGUGGGGAGCAAACAGG
rnacentral:rRNA from 1 species